rnacentral:rRNA from 1 species
UACGUAGGGGGCAAGCGUUGUCCGGAAUCAUUGGGCGUAAAGAGCGUGUAGGCGGCUUGGCAAGUCUGACGUGAAAGCCCGCGGCUCAACCGCGGAUCGUCGUUGGAAACUGCCUCGCUAGAGUCCGGAAGAGGAGAGCGGAAUUCCUGGUGUAGCGGUGAAAUGCGCAGAUAUCAGGAAGAACACCCGUGGCGAAGGCGGCUCUCUGGGACGGUACUGACGCUGAGACGCGAAAGCGUGGGGAGCGAACAGG